UGGUCAUGCCCUACCUUAACCCUGUGC
rnacentral:piRNA from 1 species